rnacentral:rRNA from 1 species
UACGUAGGGGGCUAGCGUUGCUCGGAAUCACUGGGCGUAAAGCGCACGUAGGCGGCUUCUUAAGUCAGGGGUGAAAUCCUGGAGCUCAACUCCAGAACUGCCUUUGAUACUGAGGAGCUUGAGUCCGGGAGAGGUGAGUGAAACUGCGAGUGUAGAGGUGAAAUUCGUAGAUAUUCGCAAGAACACCAGUGGCGAAGGCGGCUCACUGGCCCGGUACUGACGCUGAGGUGCGAAAGCGUGGGGAGCAAACAGG